CUGCAGUACAAACGCAUCUAACCCAUAGACCUCGGGCUAGAGGACUAUUGUCGUCCUCUCAGCGCGCGAGCAGUAUUGAUAAAUUUCAGAAAAAUAGGUGUUCUUCAUCAGUACCCUGUGGGGUAAUUUCAAACGAAAACAUAGUAGUUUUUAGUGUUAUCUCACCGCCAAUCCUUCCUCUUCACGAUGAAAUAAAUUGAAUUUGUCUAGGUUGCAGCCCGGCAGAGAUAUGAUGUUGGGAAGAGGUGCUACUUUUGGCCAAGCCGAGCGCACUUGUUCGUGCGGGUGCUGUUGACCUUGGCCUGGGUCUCCCUCUCCCCGCGCCACCACGUACACAGCAUGCAUUCUCUCAUACCAGCGCGAUUAUUCACAUUAGGCUACAUAUUACGCAGGUUUGAUGCUCAUAUACAUAACUCCUUGCGAAACUUAAUGUUUUUUUUUUGGUCAUCAUAUGAAAAAAAAACUUUCAUAAACACAGUACAAUUAUCGAAUAUAUACACUCAUUAGGCUACAUAUUACGCAGGUUUGACACUCAUAUAAAUAACUCCUUACGAAACUCAUCGAACAAGGCUCUUAGGAUACCACUGUUAUUCAAAUUUACCACAUGCGGUGGCUUAGUGCGCUCCCUGAUUAUAGGGGUAGAGGAACUGGGGCCCGCUGGCGCGCUCCCUUCCUCCACGCAUCCAGACACAGGGAAAUCAUUAUCAGCAUAUCUAUCCGCCAUAGUGGUCUGUAGUGCUCUGGGAAGUUGCGUGAAACGUAGGGCAGGGAUGCCAUCAACCACAGGAAAUAAUAAUUACGUCACGGGAGUACAAAUCUUGGCGGGACAGCAGAGGACGGGAACUCCCGCCACCCGAAGCCCUCCGCCCGAGCGGGAAUUCCCGUCGCCCGAAGCGUACGGGCUAAAUAAUAUAUCGACAAAACCAUCCAGCACUCAGUGGCCCCAUCGCGCUGGUCAGUAGAGGACCCGUGGCCACCAGACGCAGCGGAACCUUUCUGGGUCGUAACGUGAUGACCCGGGGGACGUAGAUAGUGCCGCCGAAGUCCCGAGUGGCUUCGAGACAAGGAAGAGAAGCUACGCGACUCACUUCAGCCAGUCAGUCAGUGGUCAGUGGCGUCAGCUUCGUUGUGGUGUACGUGUGAGUCUUCUGUGUUUUCUUGGACGCUUAUUUGGGCUCUAGGUGAACCAAGACUCUCCCAAAGCUUGUCCACAGUGGUCAGCAGCUGUGACACAAGGAGCAGCUGUCUCAGCGGAGAGACGGUGGACGGCGGAUGAAUACUUCGGCUCCCGCGCCUUCUUCCGCAUCAUGUCCGACCCGCCGAUCCUGGUGGUGAGAGAAGACACAGUAUGUUGAGGGAAGGCAGCUGCACUAGUGACAGCAGCAGCAGAGCCCCACCACUGCUGCUGCUCCUCUCCUCUUCCCAGCACAGCAGCACACAGGACACAUUUCCAUCAUCUUUAAAUCCCGGACACUUGUGCCUUGGUGAUAAUCUCACAGCAGCAAACCCUACAUUGCUCAGGUUAACUUCCAGCUAGAAUCAUAAUAUCUGGAGUUAUUUUUCCACAAAGAAGGAUUCAAAAUAUCCCCCCCAAAAAAUAAGAUAUUUUUUGAAAUGAAAAUCCACUCGAAUUUUCUGCCUGAAGCUCUCGUUAAAAUGACUCCCUCUUGAAUCUUGUGUCCGACUCCAGCUGUGUCCAAGAGAACGGAUCUCCAGUUUGUAGUGAGACUAUCGAGCCGCCCAAACCUGUGAAGGCGAGCAGUCUGUCAGAUAAUGAGAGUAGACAACAUAAGCAACAUAAUGAGAGACAAAGUCACAAUAAUAGAGAUAAAAUGAAGGCACUCAAGUAUUAAUGAGAAAACAAAACAGAAUAAUAAGCAAAGUAAAAUAAUGAGACAAUAAGGCCAGUCAACAAAUAAUAGUGAAUUUACUGUAGGAAGGGUCUGCUGUACUACUUAAUGACCAUUCAAGUCUACUUGUUAAAGAUGUGUUUACACUUUGAAGUGUCAUUUUCUUGUACUAUGAUACAUUUUUAACUAUUUUCUUCCACCUGCCUUAAUUAACAUUGAGUAGAGUCUCACUAAUACAACUUGAAUAUUACUCAGCCGGCAGUCUUUGCCAUGGUGGAGUGUGACACUGAAUCAGUACUGACAUUUUAUCAUUUACAUUUCAUUACUUUGAUUACUCAACAAAAUACUGCAUUGUUUUUUGUAACCUGCUGACUGGUGAAGGGACAACGUGUGCUCCUCAACACUUGGUUCUUGCCACGUGCCGCAGCAGACUGACAGCCUCCAGUGGGCCUGUCUGAGGGGCGUGACCUCCGCCGCAUUGCUUCAGCAGCCUUCAAGUCCCGGCAAUGAAACGGUUCGUGUGAGGAAGACUGCUUCUGGUGCUACUGGUGGAAAUUGUUACUAGUGUGUAAGUAUGUGGUAAAUAUCUGUGGAAACCAAAGGAUGUUUUCACUCGUACCAAACGUUAUGGUCAUGGAGAUACCUCUCUUCCUGCACACAAAACAACUACAACCACCUAAUUAUUACACACACACUCCUAUACCAGCCUUGGAGUCCCCAUCUGGUAACGACCCUAAAUGUCUUGACACCCCUCUCAGUUUUUCUUCUUAAACUUCUACAGAUUGAACGCGAAUGUUGCAGAACAUUGCCUCUCCUCUAUUAAGCUUCAUCAUCCUUUCCUCAAUGAAACCCUGGUGUCUGAGGCAACUGACAGUAGCCCCUUUUCAGUUUCCUCUUACUUUCUCUAUCCAAAGCUGGAUGUUGUGUUUAUGUGCGCAAUGAAAUUAACCUGCUUUCGUGCCCACGCUCUUGAAUCUUUUGGGUUUUCCACCACCUGGCUACGACAACAGAGUCCCUUUCAUACUAAAUUUAUCUGUGUUGUAUACCUCUCACCUAACUCCUCUGACUGUAAGAAAUUCUUUGACUACUUAACUUUCAAAGUGGAGCACAUUCUAACUCUCUUCCCUUUUGCAGGGAUCUCCAUUCUUGGAGACUUCAAUGUUCACCACCAGCUUUGGCUUUCCUCUCCCUUCACUGACCAUCCUGGUGAACUAACCUUUAAAUUUGCUAUCCUCCAUGACCUAGAGCAAUUGGUGCAACACUCUAAUCGUAUUCCUGACCGUCUUAGAGAUAUGCCCAACAUUCUUGACCUUUUCCUGACCUCUAAUCCUUCUGCUUAUUCUGUUACCCUCUCUUCUCUGUUGGGCUCUCCGAUCACAUCUAGUAUCUGUAUCUUGUCCUAUCACUCCAAUCCCUCCUCAGGAUCCCAUAAGCGAAGGUGCCUCUGGCGUGUUGGCUAUGCUAGUUGGGGGAACCUGAGGAGGUAUUUUGCUGAUUUUCCUUGGAAUGACUACUGCGUCCGUGACAGAGACCGUCCUGUGUGCCGAGUGCAUAAGAGGUGAUAGUGUCUGGCAUGGAGGCGUACAUUCCUCACUCUUUUUCUCGACCUAAACCUCCAAAACUUGGUUUAACACAGCUUGUUCUCGUGCUAUACAUGAGAGAGAUGUGUCCCACCAAAGGUGCUUAAGCCUUCCAUCACCAGAAUCUCAUGCACUUUACAUUUCUGCCCGGAACCAUGCCAAGUCUGUUCUCCAACUAGCCAAAAACUCCUUCAUUAAUAGUGUCAAAACCUUUCAAGAUCUAACUCCCCCCGUGACUUCUGCCACUUAACCCAAAAACAUCUAUAAUAACUUUGAUUCUUCUUUCCCUCCUUUAUUUCAACCAGAUGGCACCACUGCUAUCACAUCUAUCUCUAAAGCUGAACUCUUUGCUCAAUCCUUUGCUACAAACUCUACCUUGGACGAUUCAAGGUUUGUUGCUCCCUCUCCUCCACUAGCGUAGACAAGACUGUCAGUAUACAAUGGACAUGACACACUGAGGCAGCUGGUACAGCUUUGGCUCUAAAUGUUAUAAUAAUACUCUGCCACUUUGUUGACAAGUGACAAUACAACCUCUCGUUACUCAGACUGUUCUUUUCACGUAACAGCUUCAAACCAAAUCCUGAAAUACUGAACCAACAUGAACCACCUCUGCUAUCAAGUAGUCAGCACUGUGAAGGGCUCUACAGUUCCUUACCUCACUAAAUAAUACUUCUUUCUGAUCCAAUCUGUCUGUCUGUCUGUCUGCUACCAUGGCUUGACCUGCUCUUCUUUCAUCUGUAGCUUCCAUUCUGUCUGCCGUCUCCCUGCAUCCUCUUGUCCACCACACCAUCCUCCCUUGUGUGUUUGCUGCCACUGUCUAUCUAGAAAAAAAUGUUUUCUGCCAAACCUUGAACUACUACAACAUGAACCACCUGUGGUCUAAUCUUUCUCCAGCAUUUCUUCUGUCCACUGUCACUGUCUGAACCAGUCACCUAACACACCAUCCUUCCUGCCACGGUCAUUCCUCUCUGAUGCUCUUCUCUUUCUCCCUCUCUCAGCGUGGUGGCAGCACGGGCCUCGGCACUCCCUGGCACCACGGCAGGUGUCAGUGAGGCAGGCAGGUGUUGGUUCAAGUCCUGGCAGUGUCACUUCGCUGCUGUAUUGUUUGGUGCAGCGGAUGAUGCUACGUUUUUCAUCACUUAGUGUAGAGUUUAUUUUUGCUUGACGUUAUUUGUGUUGGUAAGGCAUUUCCACUAUAUUUUUGCUUGACGUUAUUUGUGUUGGUAAGGCAUUUCCACUAUAUAGUGGUAGAUAUUCUGGGAAAUAAGGAAUUAGCAAUACUAAGACAUGCUUGAACAACACUCACCAGUGUGGAAGACUUGUCAGGCAGUGGCUGUAGUGGCUUCACUUGAACCACGACCAUGUUCUCCUCAACCCUUGGAAAGAGAACAAUUCAUCUGAAAUAGAGAUACAAAGAUAUUGGGAAAAAUUUAAGAGAGAGACGCUGCAAAGUGUAGCUGACAGUGUGCGCGUCGUCAUCAAGAGGAGGGGCUCUAAAAUGAAACAGUAGGACACUCGUGAAGACAUUCAUACUAUCUUUUCUCAAGGGAAGUGUGUGUCGUGUGUGUUAACAACGUCAGGCGCGGACAUUUUUUGCAUCAAGGGUGAUGUACGAUCCGGACAUGAAAAAAAAGUUUUUUUUUUAUAUAAUUUUCUAAUUUUUUUCCGCUUCUUUUGAUAUAUGUAACGUUUUGAUAAAAAAAAAAUCCCCUUAUGUAAAGAAGUCUUCUGUUAUGAAAUUCCAUGGUUUCGCCCGCUGCGAGACAUGUCACACAAGUUUUUUUUUACAUUUUUUUUUCUCUUUUCAUAUAUUUUUUCUGACAUACUCGUUCUUCUUCACUCUCCCAUGAAUAUCUACGGUUCUCUUGCUGCAUACAAUAUUAGAAAGCACAAAAUUCUAGGUCUAACUAUUUUCUCAAAUUGAUAUACGAAAAAAAAUCAUAUAAUUAUUUUUUUUUUCGUAAAUCUAGCAAAUAGUCAAUGUAUCUGCAUUAGAUAUCUUUUGCAUUAAUAUUUUAUUUAUUUCUAAACAGUUAAACACUGGUUUUUACUUAGAAAUAUGGCGAAAUAACAAAAAUUGUUUUCACCCGCCUUCUCCCCUCCCACCCGGUAAUUAAGGGUGAAAUCAUGAAUAGCUUUAGGCCUUAUAUACAAAACCAAUCGGAGUAACUAAAACUAUGUCUGCUUUUUCAACAUAUUCUGAUGUAUAUAUCGCGUGAAUUUCAAGU